UACGGAGGGUGCAAGCGUUAUCCGGAUUCACUGGGUUUAAAGGGUGCGUAGGAGGGCAGGUAAGUCAGUGGUGAAAUCUCCAAGCUUAACUUGGAAACUGCCGUUGAUACUAUCUGUCUUGAAUACCGUGGAGGUGAGCGGAAUAUGUCAUGUAGCGGUGAAAUGCUUAGAUAUGACAUAGAACACCCAUUGCGAAGGCAGCCCGGCUCCCGAAUAUUGGCUCUGAGGCACGAAAGCGUGGGGAUCAAACAGG
rnacentral:rRNA from 1 species